AUAUCUUCACAUUCACUUCUCACAAUUCAGAUUCAGUUCUCAAAUUCAAUUUCAAGUUACUGAGACAGACAUCCGGGUAGUUGGAGGAUGAAGGAAGAGCAAUCGAGCGCAGAUCGAUAGAUAGCGUUCAUUGGCGCACAGGACUCCUCUUGGGCCAAUCAGCACCAAUGUUUUGGAGCACAGUACGUUACCCGCCAUGAAACAAAGAAGAAGUGCUUGCCUGACUUGCGUGACCACCACCACCAUGGAUUCGGCUGGGACAAAUACGAUUCCUGCUGCUCCAGUAGCUCUGAUCGACUUCUCUGCUAAAGCCAAAAAAAAAAAGCUUGACCGUUCUAUUGAUGGCAGGACAACUGAAAACCAGUUAUGGAUGCAAACAUGAAGCACAAGCCAGAGGAGUCUAUGAGAAGCUGAUGGGUCGGGAGCAUGCAGGCUUCUCCUGUAUGGACAGUGGUCUCUGGCUGAACCCCAAGUGGCCAUACAUGGGGUCCUCCC